UACGAAGGGGGCUAGCGUUGUUCGGAAUUACUGGGCGUAAAGCGCACGUAGGCGGCUUUGUAAGUUAGAGGUGAAAGCCCGGGGCUCAACUCCGGAAUUGCCUUUAAGACUGCAUCGCUAGAAUUGUGGAGAGGUGAGUGGAAUUCCGAGUGUAGAGGUGAAAUUCGUAGAUAUUCGGAAGAACACCAGUGGCGAAGGCGACUCACUGGACACAUAUUGACGCUGAGGUGCGAAAGCGUGGGGAGCAAACAGG
rnacentral:rRNA from 1 species